rnacentral:tRNA from 1 species
CUGGAUAUAGGGCAAUCAGGUAGCCUACUUGAUUUGGAUUCAAGAUGUUGCUGGUUCAAAUCCAGCUAUCCAGACCA